rnacentral:rRNA from 1 species
AGCAGUAGCCGCGGUAAUACGGAGGGUGCGAGCGUUAAUCGGAAUUACUGGGCGUAAAGCGUACGCAGGCGGUUUGUUAAGUUAGAUGUGAAAUCCCCGAGCUUAACUUGGGAACUGCAUUUGAAACUGGCAAGCUAGAGUCUUGUAGAGGGGGGUAGAAUUCCAGGUGUAGCGGUGAAACGCGUAGAGAUCUGGAGGAAUACCGGUGGCGAAGGCGGCCAUCUGGGACAACACUGACGCUGAAGCACGAAAGCGUGGGGAGCAAACAGGAUUAGAUACCCCUGUAGUCCCUGUCUCUUAUAC